rnacentral:rRNA from 1 species
GAUGAACGCUGGCGGUGUGCCUAAUACAUGCAAGUCGAGCGACAAGACGAGGAGCUCUCUCCUCUACCGUUAGCGGCGGACGGGCGAGUAACACGUGGAUAACAUUCUACUUUGUCUGGGAUAACAUCGGAGAACCGCUGAUACUAAUACCUCAUAUAUUCAACGGCAUGAUGCAAUAGUGCAUCACGGCUUUGCCGACACUUAUAGCUGAUUCCGUGUCGCAUUAGCUAGUUGGUAAGGUAACGGCUUACCAAGGCAACGAUGCGUAGCCGACCUGAGAGGGUGAUCAGCCACACUGGAACUGAGACACGGUCCAGACUCCUACGGGAGGCAGCAGUAGGGAAUCUUCCGCAAUGGGCGAAAGCCUGACGGAGCAACGCCGCGUGAGUGAUGAAGGUCUUCGGAUCGUAAAACUCUUUUAUUAGGAAAGAACAAAUGUGUAUGUAACUAUGCACGUCUUGACGGUACCUAAACAGAAAGCCACGGCUAACUUCGUG